AGUGAACGCUGGCGGUAGGCCUAACACAUGCAAGUCGAACGGCAGCACAGUAAGAGCUUGCUCUUACGGGUGGCGACUGGCGGACGGGUGAGGAAUACAUCGGAAUCUACUUUUUCGUGGGGGAUAACGUAGGGAAACUUACGCUAAUACCGCAUACGACCUACGGGUGAAAGCAGAGGAUCUUCGGACCUUGCGCGAUUGAAUGAGCCGAUGUCGGAUUAGCUAGUUGGCGGGGUAAAGGCCCACCAAGGCGACGAUCCGUAGCUGAUCUGAGAGGAUGAUCGGCCACACUGGAACUGAGACACGGUCCAGACUCCUACGGGAGGCAGCAGUAGGGAAUCUUCGACAAAGGGCGCAAGCCUGACCGAGCCACACCGCGUGGGUGAAGAAGGUCUUCGGGUUGUAAAGCUCUUUUGUUGGGAAAGAAAAGCUGUAUGUUAAUAUCCCGCUGUCCUGACGGUACCUAAACAAUAAGCACCGGCUAACUUCGUG
rnacentral:rRNA from 1 species